CAGAGAGGACCCCAAGUUCCAAUGUCCUGCCUAGGCUAACUCAUCCACAGCCUCCAUGAGACUGUCCUUCUUACCUGUUGAAAUGGUUUGGUGACAAGCAGACCAUUUCUAGCUAUAGCAACAGAAUGAGUGGUGUGCUGAACCCAGUUGGUACCAGCUCUGAAGAACCAAUUGUUAAAUUUUGAGGCAUUUUAAGAACUGAUUGUUAAACAUGGCCAUUUUAACAUAUUAUAACAAACCAUUAAAUAUAUUAUAAGACACA